CCUACGGGAGGCAGCAGUGAGGAAUAUUGGUCAAUGGCCGGAAGGCUGAACCAGCCAAGCCGCGUGAAGGACGAAGGUGCCAAGCAUUGUAAACUUCUUUUGUCAAGGGACAAAAUCAGGCUCGAGAGCCUGACCGAGGGUACUUGAAGAACAAGCAUCGGCUAACUCCGUGCCAGCAGCCGCGGUAAUACGGAGGAGGCGGGCGUUAUCGGGAUUUAUUGGGGUAAAGGGGUGGGUGGGCGGGCGGUUAAGUCAGCGGUAAAACCCCGGGGCUCAACCCCGGCGAGCCGUUGAAACUGGCUGUCUUGAGAUGUCGAGAGGUAUGCGGAAUGCGCGGUGUAGCGGUGAAAUGCGUAGAUAUUGCGCAGAACUCCGAUGGCGAAGGCAGCAUACCGGCGGCGAUCUGACGCUGAGGCACGAAAGCGUGGGUAUCGAACAGGAUUAGAUACCCCUGUAGUC
rnacentral:rRNA from 1 species